rnacentral:rRNA from 1 species
ACUCCUACGGGAGGCAGCAGUAAGGAAUAUUGCGCAAUGGACGAAAGUCUGACGCAGCGACGCCGCGUGGUGGAUGAAGGUCUUCGGAUUGUAAACCCCUUUCGGCAGGGAAGAUGGAACGGGUAACCGUUCGGACGGUACCUGCAGAAGCAGCCACGGCUAACUUCGUGUCAGCAGCCGCGGUAAUACGAAGGUGGCAAGCGCUGUUCGGAUUCACUGGGCGUACAGGGAGCGUAGGCGGUUGGGUAAGCCCUCCGUGAAAUCUCCGGGCCUAACCCGGAAAGUGCAGAGGGGACUGCUCGGCUAGAGGAUGGGAGAGGAGCGCGGAAUUCCCG